AUUAAAGUUGUUGCGGUUAAAAAGCUCGUAGUUGGACUUUGGGGUCGAGCGUUACAGACCCUCUCGGUUCUGCCGGGGGGAAUCAGUCUGGAUGUUUCUUCCUCUUUUCUCGGAACGUUAACAGGGGUUCAUGGUUCGCCAUGUUCUCUUGGUUUCGCAGGAUUUACUUUGAAUAAAUUAGGGUGUUCAAAGCAGGCGCAACUCGCCUUGAAUACAUUAGCAUGGGAUAAUAGAAUAUGACCUUUGGUCUACUUAUUGGUUUCUAAGGCCAAGGUAAUGAUUAAUAGGGAUAGUUGAGGUCGCUCGUAUUCAAUGGUCAGAGGUGAAAUUCUAAGACCCAUUGAGGACGAACAAAUGCGAAGGCAUUCGACAAGGAUGUUUUCAUUAAUCAGGAACGAAAGUUGUGGGAUCGAAGAUGAUUAGAUACCGUCGUAGUCACAACCGUAAACUAUGUCGACUCAGGAUCCGGGGAUGUUACAUGGAUGACUCUCCGGGCACUGUGUGCGAAAGCAUAAGUAUUCUGACUCCGGGGGGAGUAUGGUCGCAAGGCUGAAACUUAAAGGAAUUGACGGAAGGGCACCACCAGGAGUGGAACCUGCGGCUUAAUUUGACCCAACACGGGGAAACUUACCCAGUCCGGACACAACGAGGAUUGACAGAUUGAUAGCUCUUUCUUGAUUUUGUGGAAGCCGGUGCAUGGCCGUUUUUAGUUGGUGGAGUGAUUUGUCUGGUUUAGUCCGUUAACGAACGAGACCAUAAUCUGCUAAAUAGUGUCGUUAACAAGGAGACUUACGGGGCGGUCGGGUUUACUCGGCAGUUUCGUGGGUUUCCACUAAAUUGUUGGCGAAAGAUUUACUUCUUAGAGAGACUCUUGAUGAUGCAAAAAUCAAUGGAAGAAUAUGGCAAAAACAGGUCUGUGAUGCCGCUCGAUGUCUGGGGCUGCACGCGCGUUACACUGAGAUGUUCAACAAGUAUUAUUCAUGACCUGGCCCGAAGGGGUUCAGGUAAUCUCGAAAGCAUUUCGUGAUGGGGAUUGUGCCUUGAAACUAUUGCACAUGAACGAGGAAUUCCUAGUAAGGGUAGGUCAUCAACCUGCCCUGAUUACGUCCCUGCCCUUUGUACACACCGCCCGUCGCUUCUACCGAUCGAAUUGCUCGAUUAGGACUCGGGAUGAGGGGGUAACUCGUAGGCUGAAAGGUCUGCGCGUCCUCUUCAGAACCU
rnacentral:rRNA from 1 species